GUCUUUAAUGACACUCGAUAGCACAGGUCAAGGCUGAAAGGACAUGAAGCACAACCAAGUGUCUCAAUCUUCAUUCAGAUUUUAGCCUGUGUCAUAGCAGGAAGAAAUUUAAUACAAUGGGCUACCUAGCUCAGCUACAGGAUGUUGAUUCCAUGUGAAAUAUUGGAACCAUUCAAGAAGAAUGGAAAGACUGUAAAAUAGUUGAACAUGACUGAACUGUGAAAGGACAGUAGAUGAAUAGAGAAUUGUGGAAUAACAGCACCUGCCUUAGAACAUUAUGCGUCUGCAUCCCUGAAGAUAUGCAUGCCUCUAUUUGGAAACUCAAUGAACAGAAAGCACAACAUUAUUUAAUAUUGUCUGUACCUUCGUCUGAUGUUGCAGCAUGGACCACUAGCACGUUUUUUGUUCUUGCUUCUGUCCUUAAAUGGCCCAAGUUAAUUUGCCUCAGCUGGAGACAGCUCACCCAUCCUGAUAUGGUACCUGCAUGCAUAGAAGAAAAGUAAUGAAAGAAUUCCUGUGGUUUGGGUCAGUAAAUAAAACAGAAAGUCUUUCUGGUGGUUGUGGUUUCUGCACUUAACAAUGUGCUGUCUAUCCUUGCUAUUACAGAUCUUAGUUGAGUCUUAUAUAAACUAAACUCUAU
ensembl:lncRNA